rnacentral:rRNA from 1 species
UCGAAGGUAGCAUAAUCAGUAGUUUUUUAAUUGAAAGCUUGUAUGAAUGGUUUAACGAGAUAUUUUCUGUAUCAAAAAAAUUUAUAUAGAAUUUAAUUUUUAAAUUAAAAAGUUUAAAUAAAAUUAAAAGACGAGAAGACCCUAUAGAGUUUAAUAUAAUUUUUUGUAUAAAUUUUUUAAAAUUAUUUAAUUUUUAUAAAAAAUUAUAUUUUGUUGGGGUGACAGUAAAAUUUAAAAAACUUUUAUUUUUAAAUUAGCAAAAAUUUUUGUAUAAUUGAUCCAUUAUUAAUGAUUAAAAGAUUAAAUUACCUUAGGGAUAACAGCGUAAUUUUUUUGAAGAGUUCAUAUCGAUAAAAAUAUUUGCGACCUCGAUGUUGGAUUAA